CCUACGGGAGGCAGCAGUGAGGAAUAUUGGUCAAUGGACGAGAGUCUGAACCAGCCAUGUAGCGUGAAGGAUGACUGCCCUAUGGGUUGUAAACUUCUUUUAUAUGGGAAUAAAAUGUUCAACGUGUGGGAUUUUGUAUGUACCAUAUGAAAAAGGAUCGGCUAACUCCGUGCCAGCAGCGGCGGUAAUACGGAGGAUCCGAUCGUUAUCCGGAUUGAUUGGGUUUAAGGGGAGCGUAGGUGGAUUGUUAAGUCAGUUGUGAAAGUUUGCGGUCCAACCGUAAAAGUGCAGUUGAAACUGGCAUUCUUGAGUACAGUAGAGGUGGGCGGAAUUCGUGGUGUAGCGGUGAAAUGCUUAGAUAUCACGAAGAACUCCGAUUGCGAAGGCAGCUCACUGGACUGCAACUGACGCUGAGGCUCGAAAGUGUGGGUAUCAAACAGGAUUAGAUACCCUGGUAGUC
rnacentral:rRNA from 1 species